GGGCCGUUAGCUCAGCGGUAGAGCAGGAGCCUUUUAAGCUCUUGGCCGCAGGUUCGAAUCCUGCACGGCUCA
rnacentral:tRNA from 1 species